AUGCAGGAAGUGAGGACCGUUUUUGAUUCUCAUUGGAUUUCAUCUCUUGCGUGGAGAAGCAGCUGCGGUUGAGAGAGCCGAAUAAGGGCUGUGUGAGAAUGUUGGGGAGAGUGAAGUAGGAGAGGAAGAUUAACACGGCUGGAUGUGCACUUCCGUGCGCGAAGGCAUGAUGUCACACCUGAUUUAAAAACUGCCAAGAAGUUAAUAUCAGAGCAUCAUAGGAGAGUGGUUGUGAGCUUCCACAUGAGGCGCGGAUCGUUGUGUUUCCCUGCUAUGGUCUUCAGGUCGUUUUCCUGUUUUAAGUCGUCUCUGAAGUGGACUGCUAUUUUGGGGUGUGAUACAGUGGCAGUGGAUGGUAGUGUUAUGCUGCGUCAGCGCAGGUAAUGCUUUUCGGUGAUGGCAACGCCUUAGCUCCGCAGCAAGCGGGGAACACUGAAGUUUUCAAAGAAUGCCGUCCUGUAGGGUAGCCGUUUGUAGUAGACUCGCGUAGUGGAAUACAGGAUGCACGACUCUAAGAAUCUAUCCAUCCUUCCAGUUCUGCGUAUUCUGAGAUAUGCGUCCAUCGCCGGCUGAAGUAAGCGGAGCUUGCAUGUGAUGCCCUUGGGUGCGAAAGCACCUCGCACAAAAUUUGCGUCCAUGACCAAUACUUCACCUGACUAAAUGCACAGAUACGCAAUACAGUUCCAACCAGUUCUGACCAACAGAUUCUCUGGAACGUCACUGUCGUCUUAUACAGUGGGCCUUUGCUCCAGGGUGGCGUGACGGUACGUUUUGAUCAAAGCAAUACAAAAGUAACGUCAGGCAUAAUGUCAUUGCUGACCACUUUGGGAAAUCGACGAAUCGAUGCUUUGUUUUUUCUGCCAUGGUCGAGCUUUGCUAUCCCGGGCUCCCGUCAUCGUCGCACGCAGAUGUAACAUUCACUCGUACUCAAUACAGCGCUCCUGCGGCCUUGGUGGCUGCCGCCUAAGGCUCGAAUUCGCGAUUUGUACCAAAUAGCCACUCUUAAAUAGUCACGGCCAAUUCGAAACAUGCAUGUAUCAAUUAUUCUGCCUGUGGUCUACUGACAACUGAGUUGCAAGUCGGUAACCACUUCAGGUGGUGUUGGUAUGUGACAGACCGGACUUCUUACGUAAGGUGAAGGUGGCUUUUUUCUAUCAUUUCUGGUCGAGAAGAUGGGAGUUCAUGGAGGUGGAAGGCUUAAACGUAGCCUUCAUGGCAUUCAUAUUUUUCCACUCCUCAAAGAGAUAGGCACAAAAAAUUUAUAUUAGACACAUCGAUGAGUUAGAAAUCUUAUGUAAAUAUACUACGUAACUGGCCCAGGUCCGACAGCAGCACGCGCUGCACUGAAGAGCUUACAGAGAUCGCCUGACACUUGCGAAUUCUCAUAUCACUACUGUUGCAGCUUUAAAAGAACUUGUUUGGUUCUCUUCUUUCCUGCCAGCUCGGAUUCGAGGAUUGGUUCUUUGGUGGUCGCGCAGAAGAUUACCUAACUUGACUGCUUUUAUCUCAUAACUGAAGUCAUAUCCAGACUGGCACAGUUCGGGAUCGCGGAUUAUUUGUACCGAAAUAUUUGCUUAGUACAGUGUGAGGGAAGGGAGCGGCUGCGAUAUUGUUUUGCCCUGUGGCUACCUCGUCUUUUUCAUGUCGAUGGUACCGGUUUGAAUGCGUGGGAAAAUGCUCCACUCAGUUUGGUGGCGUGCCAUGACGCAGAAUUCAGUUGAUUUAGGAAUACUUUUUCGGCUUGGUCGGUUUUCAGGUCUCGUCCACAGAAUCCAUGAAGCUCGUGAGAGAUCCGCAGAUUCCAGUCUCCCGUGCUGACGUGGGUAUGCAACCUCAAUGAACAGGAAGUACGUUUUUGCCGCUGGAAUAAAUUGGAAGAAAAGAGCUUGCCUACAGGAUCGAGAACUACUUCUCCACGACACCUUCUAUAGGGUGGGUCAACAGCACGUAGGCCUUUAUCAUGUGUCUUUACGGGCGCAUAUUUCACCGCAUGCCUGGUCUCAUACCACUUGAUAUCAAUGUCUAUUCACAUCCAGCGGGCGCACAGAGAAAGGGAAUAAGGUGAAACGAUGAUGUCGCCGUUUGUAGCACUACUUAUUCAGCUAAUGGUCAGCCCAGGUGCCAACAACUGACGCUUGCAAAUUGGGACAAGCUCAGCGGUCUACCUUUGAGAAACUGAGUAUCUGAGGAGUAGAAAUCGGCACUCGUGCUUCGCCUGGCACGGAACUAUAGUUCCAGAAGGCCCGUGCUCAAUGGCAAACCUGAAAAGUGGAUCUAUUUCAGGGAAUAGCAAAGAAUUAUAUGCCUAAACGGUACUUCGAGAACCACAUGAAACUCAACUCUCAACAGGUACGCGACGGGACUACAGGACGAAGAGGUUCUGCUUGUGAGGGGAUGCUUUUUCAACUGGAAUAGCAUGGCUGUCCUAAACACGCGCAAAAAUGUAGCCAUCACGAGAUGUAUCACCGGCUACUGUACCGGAGCCUAAGGCAUGUGUAUUUGGUCCCACCUGUCUCGCCGCUGAGUAGCGAGGAAUAUCUCAAUCCGCUGAAGAGUGUAACAGCCGCCCAGAAAAAUUCGAAGAUGUGAGGAACCGAUAUGAUGUGUCGGGGUGCACCAACAGCCCUAGUCAGUUUAGGUGGGGGGACUCAGGAUACAGAACGCACACAAGCUACGUCGUGCUCAGCAACCAAGACAGGGUCCUCUCAGCAGGUACUCAGAAGUGUCACAUAUAAAGUGGAUUUCGGCAAGUGAGGUACAACACAAAUCAAUGUUGAACCGUUCUUCUGGGUCGCUAUCACAGCACAUGGCUGCCUCGUUGUUCAGGCGAUGAAUCGCUAUUGCACACAUGCAUACACGAAUACGAGUGCCCGAGAGAGAGGACAAAACUCAGGAACCGAUUAGAUGUACGGAGAGCUACCUAUCCGCCAGGUAUGGGGAAUACAAAGUUCACCUCAGGCAGGAUUGUUGCUGUGGAGACAGGGACGCCGUCAGUGUACGAAGAACCCCGCCUGGCUCCUUGAAGUCCUCCCACCCAAGACAACGGUUCUGAUUUUUUUUUGCUCCAAGACGACUUUGGGGAAGAGAGUGCUGGAGGUAUUCACUGGAAAACUGUUGUGAUUCUGCCUGUCGUACCGUCUUCCUGAUUCGGAGCUUCAAAUCAAUCGCAGCUUUCCCGGUCACGUGUCAAACGCAUCAGGGUCAAUUUGCUCGGUCUUGCUGUGGCUACUUGGACACUGUGAGAGUGCCGUACCGGUGAUUAACAAGGGACCCGCUGACGAAUGUUGUGCUGUGAUUCAGAUGGAUGAACACUCGUAGACGGCUGAGUGGAUCCACGAUACCUCCACAAGAAAGCAGAGCGGAAGAAACACGACUCUUGUAUCAAAGAACUACUCAGUGAUUUUGUGUCGUUCCUAUCAGAAUGAUGCAAACACGACAGAACGAUCAGUUGUACACUUGGAGCGCUCAAGAGAUUCAUGGGCAGCAUACUCUGUACAUUUUUAAAUUUUCCACGCUGUCGACGCCAAAACGCAGCUUCUGGUGGUACGUGAUGCGGACGGUUAAUCGCUCUGAGAGAGAACGCGGGCGCUUUGACAGUUGUGUCACUUCGGAACCUGGUUGGGGACACGUAGCGGGCUGAAUGUCUGGCAUACAUCGCUCUUCAUUUGCGAGUGCCUUUGCUUAUCCCACUGUAUUCCCGAAGCUAAUAUCUACAUCGGAACCAGCUGGGCACAGUAUCGAGUUUGGUUGCAAAAUGGUAGUGAAAAUGCAGCUGUGAGUCACAAGGUCAGUGUGCUCUUCUUUGGAUUGUUACGCGUUGGGUAAAACAGCCGCACAUGCCAGCACUCUUCGUCGCAGUACUAUUUAUUACUUUUGCAGUAUAGAAGACCAAGUCGCCUCCCGCAAGUUUUGUUCCGGAAAUGUGUAGAACGUGCAUUUUCCAAUUGGCAUGGGAAGAUUGUAAGACGAUUUGGUGUCAUUCCGUUAACACACCCAACCAUAGUCUUUGAGAAGACACACGCGGUGACGUGCUGGCGAAACGUUGCUGCUAAAUCAAUGCCUUUUCUAUGCAGAGACGCUUUCUUGAAAUUUGUUCUCAAGUGCAAUAUCAUAGUGUCGGCAAUCUUUUACACAGCUUGUGUUCGUGUUCGAUGAGACGAUACAAGCCCCAAGCGCGUACUUACUGAUGAUGAAGACUUCUCACGCAAUUGUUGAUUCACCACGCACAGCAGCACCCAACUGACGUUGGUUUCUGGAUCAAUCCUUGUAGAAACCGUCCUCGUAUAGCCUCAACUGUGCAAGGGGAACCGUGAAGAAGUCCAGCGAGAGGGGGGUGGCGAACGCAAGUGUAUAUGCUUGCGCCCGUACGUCAGCACAGGCUGUCAUGGUGCGACAUCUGGUUUGUGGACUGCCGUCGGUUCCAUGUCAGAACACUGUGGGAAUACGGUUGUGGACAGCCACAGGAG
rnacentral:lncRNA from 1 species